CCUACGGGGAGCAGCAGUGGGGAAUAUUGCACAAUGGGGGAAACCCUGAUGCAGCGACGCCGCGUGAGUGAAGAAGUAUUUCGGUAUGUAAAGCUCUAUCAGCAGGGAAGAAAGAGCGACCGUUGGGUCGCCAGACGGUAACUGACGAAGAAGCACCGGCUAACAACGUGCCCGCAGCCGCGGUAAUACGUAGGGGGCAAGCGUUAUCCGGAUGUACUGGGUGUAAAGGGAGCGUACACGGCAGCCCAAGUCGGAAGUGAAAUGCCGGGGCUUAACCCCGGAACUGCUUUGGCAACUGUGCAGCUAGAGUGCAGGAGAGGUAAGUGGAAUUCCUCGUGUAGCGGU
rnacentral:rRNA from 1 species